CGUAGUAGUUACAGUAUAUAAAUCAGCGUACAAGAAUUUCGACUACAGGAAUCUGUAGCAGCACAGAAGUCGGUUUUCGGAACAGAAGCUGGCAAAAUGUGUUCAGAACUCGAGUGCGGUAUUUGCUAUAGAAUGUACAAUACAGGUCGUCGUUCUCCCAGGGAACUCAGCUGUGGGCAUACGUUUUGCGAAAGGUGUCUGGUAACUUUGUCCCGGCCUUCGACGCCCCAAAAUAUCGCUCGUCCAGGAGACGUUGCGAUUGUCUGUCCGCUGUGUCGUUGCUCCUCUUCUGUCCUCGGUUCCGAGGGGGUACGGCUGGCGCUUCGGUUAAACGAAGGUGUAUUAGGGCGCAUCUUAGCGGCUCGAGUACUUGAUAGUGGUUCAGCUGAGGAUACCGAGAGUGAGGACGAGGACAACGAGGAUGUUGAAAAAAACAGGGGAGUGCAGGGGAGUACUGCGCCUCCUCGAACAAGAAAAGGCAAGCUCUGGCGAUCUAUGAAGCGGUUCUGUGGAAGACUUACCGGGAAUAGCAACCAAGAUUCGCGGCGUGGCGGAAGUGAAUACAUGACAGAUGGAGAUAUCAGAGACCUCGCUUUGAUGUCCUGCUACAUGAUGUAAACCCCAACAAUGUGCGCGCACGUUGCGCUUUGCAAGAGAAGUGAUCUUAACAUGUUGAAUCGCGGGAUACAUGGCGUCACUGGCUGGAAAGAAUGGACUGAAAAAACGCACUUGCUGGUGACUGAGUAGCCUACAGCCGAUUCUUGCUUUUGGACAGUAUUAAUAUUUGCUCGGUGAAUUCGGCGAGCAGCGACGUAGCUAUUUCUGGUCUCAGUCAUGAGAAGGUAGCCUAGUCUUCUUCGGUUCUUUGGAGAAUUAAAAAUGUCUUAUUAUUGAAGCAGAAGACUAGCUCUCCUAAGAACAACAUUAAGUUAAUUAUUUCAUGUUUUAUAAAAUGUGAACUUGAAGAAGUCUUUUUAAAUCAUUUCUUUUUGUCAUUGAAAUGUGUCAGUAGCCUAGACUGUUGUUUGAAUUCUGUUUGAUCUUAUAUGUUUUGAGUUAUUAUUAUUAUUAUUAUUAUUAUUAUUAUUAUUAUUAUUAUUUAUUUUCAAAGAUAUGCAUUCUUUUUUGAAGUGAUUUUUGUAAUAAAAAUUCUCAGUGUUGUUUCUUAAUAA